rnacentral:rRNA from 1 species
AGAGUUUGAUUCUGGCUCAGGAUGAACGCUGGCGGCGUGCUUAACACAUGCAAGUCGAACGAGAAUCCAGUGAAGGAGUUUUCGGACAACGGAUCUGGAGGAAAGUGGCGGACGGGUGAGUAACGCGUGAGCAAUCUGCCUUGGAGUGGGGAAUAACGGUUGGAAACAGCCGCUAAUACCGCAUGAUGCGUCUGGGAGGCAUCUCUCUGGACGCCAAAGAUUUAUCGCUCUGAGAUGAGCUCGCGUCUGAUUAGCUUGUUGGCGGGGUAAAGGCCCACCAAGGCGACGAUCAGUAGCCGGACUGAGAGGUUGGCCGGCCACAUUGGGACUGAGACACGGCCCAGACUCCUACGGGAGGCAGCAGUGGGGAAUAUUGGGCAAUGGGCGCAAGCCUGACCCAGCAACGCCGCGUGA